GCAUUAACAUGGGUUAAAGUUAUUAAUUGAAACCAUUUCAAUUUUGUAAAAUAAUUUUACAUCAUUUUUAUAUAAAAUUUUUUGGUCUGAAAACUAGAUCGACUCACCUCUGAAUUGAGUUGGCUCACUUCAGUGGAUCGACUAAGUCUGAUACUUGAUCGACUAACUGAUCAUGAACAGUAACCAUUACUGUUUGGCUUGAGACAACU
rnacentral:lncRNA from 1 species